UUGAGAUACAACAGGUAUCAAGUUUUUAACUACUCCGAAACCCAUCACAAAUUCACAACCACAAAAGUGAAAAUAUUCCCUGAAACCUUUCUCACACUAAAAAACCUUUUCACACAUUAAGAGAGAAAGAUAGAUGCUACAGAAACAAAAGGAUAGCCGACAGAGGAGGCAUGGAUUCUGUUGAACGGUGCUCCGAUGAUGGUAAUAAAGGUCUAUUGCAGCGUUGUUUGGUUGAUUAUCAACAAUAAAGAUAGUGUCAGAGUUAGAUAGAUAUCUUUGAUGCGUUUCAAUGCUUUAUGAAAAUUUUGAGUUUACAAAAGGCGCACGAAUAUACGUAUUAUGAAUAACCCGACCAAAACAAUGAAAUCAUAGAAUUCAAUUUCCACAACUUGAGAAUACCUAGUAAUAUUAUUGUAACUUUUGUUUUAUGCAAGUGCAAUAUUUUUUUCUUACGAUGUCUAAAUCUUCUUGCAACCUACAUUUAUCUAGAAUCCAUUUUGUAAGGUCUCCACCAAACAAGAAAGGAGUUUCACCACCAACUUGCAAAUUCUAGUCUAGAUAUUUAUUCGCCAGAUAAAAUAAAAAGAGAGUCAAAAGUUUGAUCUAAGUAAACACCAUGCUUGGUGUCGUUCUAAACCACCACUUGAAUCAUGUUAUUUUUGUUUAUUUAAAAAUCCAUACAUGUUCUAGAACUCAUCCUAUACACACAUCUAUACUUUCUAUAAAAGGAGAAAUCUCGAUGACAUAAAAAAGCUGAUGUGGCAGCCAGAGAGGUUGUCCAGCAAUGCUUCUCUUAUGUCGUUACUGCAUCAUAAAGCCUAAUAUAUAAAAUCAGUUUAAAAUCUAUAUAAAACUCUGCCAUCCAAAACCUUUGCCCAUAUCUAUACUUUAAAGCCAGCAGAGGUUGAAGGUUCAAGGGAUGCGUAUAUAUCAGCAGAUGUUUUGUUGCCGGUAAUUUCAAAUUCAAAAUGUCUGGCAAUACGUAAUUUGCAAUUAAUGCAUGUUACUCACUCACUUCUAUCAAUCAUCUUCUUAUAUAAAGGUUUUUUUUUCUCAUUUCCCUCUUCAUAUUUAAACUCUCGUGUUCUCUGCUUUUGUAUUUUCAAACCACACUUCCAAUGUAUCUCUCCCUCAAAUCCUCUCUUCUCAAUACUCCACAUUUGUUCAUAAAGGAAAGAUAAAACCGAAGCUCUCUCUGACCCACUUUAAGAACAAAUUUUGGGGAUAUGUCGUUUACCUUGAUGAUGAUGAUGAUGAUGAUGAUGAUGAUAAUUGUUCUACUUUUGUUCCUACCAAAUGCAAGAAACUCUCUGCUUCUCUGCUAUAAGAUAAGAUUUAAUUUAAUAUUUUAUUUAGGAUUUUCAUAUUCAAUCGGUUAAUCUACGAUUACAGAUCUUUGUGCUUCACAUAAUUGUUCCAGCAUCAUUGUUCCAACAUCGUUGAAAGAAUGUUUUUUUUUGUAAUUUUGAAUUUUAAAUUUUGAACUGAUCUACUCUAAUUCUCACUUUAUAUUUCAGCCUAAUCACUGUUGUUUGAAAUUCAUACAAUCGUCUGCGGGUUAUUUUAGGUUUGUGGAUUUUUUUAAACUGUUGAUAAUGUUGAUAAUUUUUAUUUUAAACUGUUGAUAUAUUUCAGCUCUGUUUUCUUCGAGCGACCAGUAGUAGAAGCAUUUGUGGAGCCUGAAUGGUUUUAGAAUAUGUUAAUAUGGAUAUUUAUAGUAUUAAAUUAAAUACAAAGAAAGAUUAAACACUUAAUAUGAAUUUAUGUUUGUUUAUAUUAAAUGUACAUGUUUUUCCCUCCUAGAUUAUUAAAUGUACAGUUAAAUUAAUCUGGGUUAUGACUAAAUGAUGAUUAUUAAUGAUUUGGGCAGAUGAUGAUGACAAUUAUUCUACAGUUGUUCCUACUAAAUGCAAAAAACUCUUUGCUUCUGCUACUCUGAUUAUUUAAAGCAGUGCUUUAUCAAGAAAGUUGAGGAUUAAGUAUAUGAGGAUAGGGCUACUCUUCAAGAGCUGAAGAGGUGUUUUUAUGGAGUGCAUCUUGGUCUGUUCACGAGAGACCAGGUUUCCAGAAACCUGAUGGCGAUGCCUUCAACUUCCAUGGAGUUCAUGGCGAUGCUCAAAGAUAUACAUCGAGAGGUUCAGUACUCGAUGGAGUUGCAGCUAAAAUUUCUUAAUUCUUGCUGUUAGAUUCUUAAAUUUCUUGGUGUUGUUGUUAGAUUUUAAAGUUUCGUUGUUCAGUAGUCGAUGUAAUUGUUGAUCUUUUAAUGUCAUAAAUAAAUGUUAAUCCUAUUAAUC